GUCGAAUCCCAUCGCCGCGUCCCCGGUGCGCUCACGUACGCGGACAGCGGGCUGCGUAAACAUUGACGCUAGGCCACGCCCACUGUGUUCACUCUGGCCAGUCACACGGCAGCCCUUCAACCAAUCAGAGUGGUGCCGCCCCGCCCCGCCAUGCUUUGCCCCGUCUGUUUUGGAUUGCGUGCGAGACCGGGGAAGACUCACUGGCACCUGCAACUGCCAGCUGAACAGACAAAUGAAGUGCAGGGGGAAAGAGAUGGAAGAAUGCACAGCUGAAUGGACAGAGAACAAGCCGUCCUAAUUGGUCAUUAUUUCCUUGCUGAUCUAUAUGUCCCUCCCUGCUAACCCCAACACAGAUGUGAGGAGUGGGAAGAGAUGGGGGGGGUCCUACAAGGCCUGGUCUGCUCUCCGCUGGGGCUUGAGCGCUGACCGUGAAACAUCGCUGUUCGCUGUUUAGAAAUUGGGAAGCAGACUCAGUGGAAAGCACCAGCGGAGGGUGUGGGGGUCAGAGUUGAGACUUGCAGGUGGUUGAUAAUUGAAGAGCCAGCAGACACACAUAUAAGUGUACGUUCUAUGACUACGAAGUACCUUUCCUACACCCAAACCAGACCAGCAGAGGAGCACACGAUAACACCCGUCUACACUAAUGUGGCUCGUGACGGCACUAAAGCAAUGCCUGGCUGGGGCGCUGCUAUGUGCUACGGAGAGGUCACAGCAGCACCGAGGUGUUCGGACAAUGUGACGCCGCAGAACAGACGAGACGUCUGGCAGACGCGAUGGCGCUGGGAGGGGAAAGGUCACAGCACUUGGCGUUAAGGCUCUUUUACACCAAAUUAAACUGGGAUAUACUGUUAAAAAUCUAACAAGAAAUGCUGAGAAUGAGAAGAGAAAUAAUGUCAAACAAGAAGCAUUUGAAUGGCUUCUUUUUCACGCUUUUGGUUAUUGUCUGCUGACGUUUGACUCAGUUGCUUGUGCCAACGCAAGGUCUCCAACAUCCAAAUGAGAGGCUCCUGUCAGUUAUUGAUUUUAUUCUAUUUAUGAGUGGAAAUAUAAGUAACAGUUACAAGAAGCAUGGCUUAUUUAUUGAAUAACUGCUCUUUUGGAGGGUCGCCAUAAAAAGUUCUCAUAUUGGUAUAUUGUUCAAGUCCAAGACAAACGAGUAACACAGAACUGAGGCAUACAUCUAAAGUUCUCUGGAGGAAACGCUUAGUACAGACCACCUAUUGUAUCUUUUCGUGUUGGUCCCUGCUGUUCUUGUUCUUCCAGCAAGUCAAGCAGAUAACUACGGGCCCGAGAAGACCCAGGGAGAGAAGGAGCACCAAGUCCAACAGGUACCUCUGGUACCACGGCUGUGUGAGCGAAGCCGGCCUUAAAUGAGCCCCACCUCCACUCUGCAGGAUGUGCUCCACCCACUGGGUGAGUCGAAGGGCGGGGGGGACAGGAUGGGACUUGUGGAUCCGGCUAAGGGACAAAGCUGAAGACUUGAACCUGGAAACGGAGAAGCGGAGAAGGGCGGUCACGACAUCUUUGUUGCUCGACUGGCAUCACAAAUGUCCUUUCACGUACCUGAUGUCCUGCGAGAGUGUUUGGAUGGUGGAGCUGAGCAGCUCCCUGGUGAUGUGCGUGGGCUUGAUGGUGAGGCCAAGUCCCUUUGUUUUAGCCCUCACCAUAUUAUCAAAUUGGUCCCCAAAAAGAGGGAUUCCCAGCACAGGAACAGCGUGAUACACUGCCUGGAACAGGCUGUUUUGUCCACCGUGGGUGACAAAGACACGCACCUUUUUGUGGCCUGCGGUAAACGGGAAAUAGAGAAAACGAAAUUACGAAGAGAGAACACGAAGAGUGUUUGGAGGUAGCGCAGACUGAUGAAUACACUGCAGUCUUUUUGGUAUUUCUGUAUAUAUGAAGAGGAUAGGAGGAAAGAACGGAGCGGCCAUCUUGCUUCAGUGUCUUGGUCUAUCUCGAGAUUCCUUAUUUUAGCCAUACUUCACAGUCCUGUAGAGGCCGUUUGAAAGUCUACCAUAUACUGAAACCCAGAAGGGCAAGAGAGGAAGACUGUUCCUACCCAGCAGAUCAUUGAGAGGCAACCAGUCCAUCAGCCUCAGGUUGGGAGGUCUGUCCAGGUGAGACGGCCAUCGCUCUGGGUCAUACCUGCAGGCAAAAUACUGCGGGAUUAGGAACAUACUGACAAUAAUGGUAAUUGUUUUGGGGCUUUUCAUGGAAAUAAAAUUACAUUUUAUGUACAUUUUUCCCUUGUAAUUUAAAAAAAUCCAGAUCUGUGCCAAAGCAUGUUAAUAGUGCCUGUAUGAAUUGGGUAAAGCAUUUACCUCCAGAUUACCCCCUGAGGGAUCCUAGAGAAGCCCGCCACCAGCUCUACAAGCAGGGAGUCCACAGAGACCGAAGAGACCAUCGAUCCCAGAGUCACGACAACGAAACCGGCCUCUCCAAAAUUGGAGAUCCACAACUCAAUGUCCUGGGCCAAAGAGGAAAAAAGCAAAAGGGACAUUUGCGUGGUUGAGUACAGCAGGAUGAGUGAGACAUGUUCCUUUAAAAACCUCCCUGGUGUGUUGGGAUAUGCACAUCAAGAGAAGAGACCUGCUCUGGAGGCUGCGCCGGCUUAUUCAGCAGACCUCCCACCAGGACAGUGUAGGGCAUGAGAGGCUGGGGGAACUCCAGGGAGAAGUCGGUGUUGAAGGCCCAUAGUUCAGCUCCUUGAUGCAGCUCCUCCAGACCUCCAGGGGGCGAGUCAGAAUCAAAGUGGCGUUCGGCUACUUCCCUAAAAGUCGACCAUACAAGUUCCUGGCCUUCGAUGCAGGACACAUAAAAAAAAAUAACCAAAUGAAUGCCAAUCAGAUUGAAUUAUCAUAACUCAUUUUUAUAUUACAACUCAUUUAGCUAAAACCUGCGCUGGCUAAGUGGAGACUAACUAUUUCUAGAAGAAAUGGAAAGUAAAGGGCAAUUCAAGGAAAGCAAAGAGAUAGAUUAAGCAUAUUAAAAAUGACAUGAGAAUAACAUAUGGAAAGUAAUAGAGUGUCGAUUUAGGAUAAUUGGUGUCGGGGGCUUUUACAAUGUACACUUGACACCCCUUGACAAUAUGUGAUCACCUGCGUGCUGAUGCUAUAUUACCUAUGGGAGCUAAGAGAGAAUAAAAGAGGUUCUUUGCUCGACCCCAAGUGUUCAUUUGGUCGGAGAGCUGGGAGCCAAAGACCGGGAUGUAGGAGACCGGGCUGGGGAGCGCCAUGGACAGAGGACUGUUCAGAGUGCCGGGGUGGAAAGCUAUGUAGUCGAUACCUGGAGAAAACCAAGAGUGGAGAGCAAUGGAACUGCUGUAGAUAAUCAAACACUGUAAAUCUGGUUUAUGGCUUUUGGAUUAUUGUUCAAAUUACCAUAUGAAAGGUGGAAAUAUACUGGUUUAUAAUAAACACAUUUAGAAAUGUAAAGGCUGAUGAUAAUAAUGACAAAAAACAAUGUGACAAAUUGCAGCAGCUGUACCGAGUUUGCGUGCCAGGAUGAAGGAGCAGGGGUUGAACGCAUCAAGGAUUGUGAUGUCGUAGCGCUCCUUCUGGAGGAAAGUCAUCAUCUCUUGGUCCCCUAGCAGCCGGUCACACUGAUAGGACAGGUGCCCCAUGAAGUUUAGGAAGGUGGUAAAGUUGUCCCUGAGGGAAAGAGAGACGGAGGGAAAAGGACAGAGUGUAGAGAAAGACAAAAGGGGAGGCAGAGGGGUGGCCGAUACAAACAUGUUCAACUAUUCGCUGUCCUUUUGACGUCCAAAACAGAGACAAAUAGGCUGUUGUUUUAGAAUAAAUUCCAUUCAGACCCCUUUUCGAAAACCAAAGCAAGAGCAAACAAAAGCCCGUUUCUGCAAACACAUCGAGGUAACGGUGCCUGCCCAAUACCUUCCCAGCAAAAACUGUGUUUGUUGCUCCAUGAACCAGCCGUUGUACUCUGUGACGUAAUCCUCUCCCAUGGACCAGGUGGUCAUCUGGUAACUGUCUGCGCGGCCUGCAUAGGAAAACCCUGGAAGGGAAUUCAACCGGAAUUUAAAGUAAUUUCCAGAAAGAUUAGAGUAACUACAUAAUGGGAAAGAAAGUUGAGUAAAUGUACCUUUUCUAAAUAUGUGUAUUUGUGUGUUUGUAUUGCGUGUACAUUUUACCUGUAAUAACAGGGUUUCCCAGUUGCAGAAGCAUGCGGACCUCAUGGCCGCGCUGGUGUAGAUUGUUAGAAAUCUCAUCUAACAACAAGUAGUGGCUUCCUCCUGAACGAUGGAAUAUCUGGUCAGUCGCUAUGCUGUCUGAACACGUGCCUCACUGUUUUCCAAAUAACUAAAUAAAACAUUUUUUU